AUGAAACUACGCCCACACCUCGACGCUCGCGCUCAGAAGCGCCUAGCAAGCCUCAGGCACACACGGAUGGCCAGGAUUCCCAGCAGGUCUCUGGAGCAGAGUUCGCCACCCUUCACUCUGGGCCCAACUGAGAGGUGCGGUUCCCACCCGCCCGGUGCCAAACGUGACUCUCACUCACUUCCACUCCCAAGGGCAAGGCCACACAGCAGGGAAUUGCCACAAUUCAGCCUGAGGGAGUGGAGGAGACUUACAGGAAGGAUUCUCGUUCCGAUGCCUCAGGUGUGGUGCCCCCGCUCGGCUUUCCUGCCGCCUUGCGGGGCGGGCGCGGCCUCCGCGGUGAGCGCUGCGAGCUCGGACCUCCGCUGGGAGAAGCCCGGGCCUGUGGGCCGCGCUGCCGCCAGGCCUCGGCUUCCGCACCAGAAGCCAGGCCAGCCACACGGCAGGUGCAGUCGCGCAGCUUCCAUUAAUAAAUGGGGACCACUCAGUCCAUUCGUUUAAGAAAAGUCUGCUCUGGCUAAAGGAAAGAAACCCACCUGCCGACCGAGACGGCUGAGGAGGCGCUGCCAGGGCUCCCGGGGCCAAGGCUAUUCAUUUAAAACCCAGGAAGAGGGGGCGAGGUGGGGUGGGAAUUGGAUAGUGAGCUGCGCUGUCCACUAUGUGAACACAUUAGCCACGCGGGACAUGUGGCUCUUUAAAUUGGAAUUAAUCGAAAUUAAAUACAACUUAAAAUGGGCUUCCUCAGUCGCGCUGGGCACAUUUUAAUUACUCAGCAGCCCUUGCCAUCACUGUGGAAAGUUUCACUGGGCAGCAAUGCUAAGUACAAGGAGAUAUUGGGACAAUUAGCAAAAUUUGAAUGCAAAGCCUGUAUAUGUUUAUGGAUUGAAACUAUUGUAUCCAUGUUGUUUCCUUUUUUUUAUUUUUAUUUUUUGACAGGGCUCUUGCUCUGUCCAGCAGGCUGGAGUGCAGUGGUGACACUCACUGCAGCCUUGACCUCCUGGCUUCAAGCGACCCUCCAUCCUCAGCUUCCCAAGUAACUGGGAUCACAAGCACUGCCCCACCAUGCCCGGCUAAUGUUUUCUUUCUUUUUUUUUUUUUUUUUUGGUAGAGACAGAUCUUCUACUUUGCCCAGGGUGUUCUCGAACUCCUGGGCUCGAGUGAUCCUCCAGUCUCGGCCUCCCAAAGUGCUGCAUUACAGACAUGAGCCAACGCCCAGCCAUGUUUCCUAAUUUUGAUCCCUGUCCUGUAGUUACAUAAAAUAAUGUCUUUGUUCUCAGGAAGUACACGUGGAAAUAUUUAGGGGUAAAUGCGGCAUGAUGUCUGCAACUUAGUUUCAAAUCGUUCAGAAAAAAAAAAUGUAGAUACAUAGAAUGAUAAAGCAAAUGUGGCAAAUUAUUAACACUGGUGAGUCUGGGUCUGUCCUUGCAACUUUUCUGUAAGUUUAAAAUUAUUUCGAAUGUGAGGAUUAAAAAAGGAAAAAUGAAGAAACAAAAACUCCAGAGAAGCUAAGUUAAAGAGUUGACGUUAAUGAAACACUAAGAAUGGAUCCCAAGUGGCAGCCCUCACUCUGGGCAGGCACUUCUCAUCUGACAGCAUGUUUCCAUGGGCUUAAUUGCCCACAUAAUUAUCCCCACCCAUACCCCUGGUGGCCCUUUGGAAUUCUCACUGCCCUCAUGGUGCCUUCUUACAUACUUGCAGGGCAAAGAUUCCCAAAUCCCAGGACACUCCAUUCUUUGUUUUCAAGACCCACCUCUAGACCCCAUCCCCUGAACUUCAGUCAUCAGUGUUUCACCUGGAAGAGAAUCGUCAUAGCAGUAUGUGUUCCCAGCUACAGCUGAAAUAGUUUUCACGCAUUGAGUAAAACUGGGUGGUGCACCUGAGGGGCGUUCUUGGUACUGGGAUGCCUCAACCUACCCAUCUAAGGAUCACUGCUCUAAGAAUUUUUAGAACUGGUUUGUGCUUUACAUCCUUAUGUAUAAUUUUAGUUAAAGGUGUGACGGUGAUAAUAGACGUGGAUUUAAUUUCAGUGAAGUUUUGUUUGUUUGUUUUGCUUGUUCUCCCACAACACUUUUCUCUCUUUCCUUGGCUUCUACAAAAGGGCACAAAUCCUGCUACUUCCACAACCCUCACAGACCCCUGGCUUCAGACACAUAGAGCUGUCUGUCCACACUUCCUGGCACUGGGCGUGGAGGAGAAAGGAGCUGUGGUCCCGGAAUCCCCUGAGCUGGUUUUCUGUAUAAGUCUCCUGUUAUGAGAGCACCUCAUUCUUACUCACCUUUAUUAAGCAGCAGGGCACCAGAUGUCGCGGUGGUCACAGAACAUGCAAGAUGUUGUCAUUAAAUUCAGCAAACAUUUGUUGGGAGUCUACUUUUGGGCCCAGGCACUCUGCCAGGUGCUGCUGAUACAAAUAUCCUCAACAAGAUCCUGCCUCUAAGGCGUUCCCAGGCAGCAAAAAUCAAAGAAUAGGAUAAAUGGUGUUUUUGCGAGUGUCAUGGUAAGACUGGGCAUGGGGCUGGAGCAGGAGGCAAACCCCACCUUCUUCACUGCAACAGGCUCUCUCAGCAUAUAAUUUCUGACGUCAUCAAUCCAGCAUCUUUGAUGUACAUUCCUCCUCAAACUUUCAUCUCAUGUGUAACAAGCAUCCAUUGUACUCUCAAAGUCCCAGCCUUGCUGUAGUUCCCAACUAAAAGGCAGUUUCAAUUUAGACCAACUGGAGUCCAAAAUAAAGGGUCCAAGACAGGAACGUGUCUGCUCCUCUUUGUGUAGAUAGAAAUUGUUUAUUGCUCUGGCUCUCUUCUCUUUUGUGAGAGCUCCACGCUUCUUUUCAAAAUGAUUCCCAUUCUUUGCAGAGUUGUCUAUUAGCUGCCUCCCACAGCCACGCUAAGGCUUUGAAGUUUAUGGAUAACUCAGCAUUUCUUCCCUGUGGAUAUGAGAGGCACUUUGAAUCGGGCGUGGUGGUGCGUGUCUGUAGUCUCAGCUCCUCAGGAAGAUAGCUUGAACCCAGGACUUCAAGGCUGCAGUGAGCUAUGAUCAUGUCUGUGAAUAGCCAGUGCACUCCAGCCCAGGUAACAUAUUUUUUAGAGACCUUGUCUCUAAAUAAAAUAAAAUAAAAUUUAAAGAAGCAUUUUGGCGUCAGAUAAAAUACUCCAGGUAGGAUAUGUGCGUUUCCCCUGCCAGCAAUAGCUUAAACUGUACAGGGAAGUGACGGUGACUUCAGGCACGCAUCCCAUUAAAUCCAAACUAAAUGUAUUCCAAGCUUAAUGAACCCUUAGCAGAAUUUUCAAAAAUGCCCUUGGACAUGCCAACAUUCACCACUUGAUAGGUGGGGAAGUCAGAAAAGAAAGAGACAGGCAUCUUAACCUACUGCAGAAAAAAAAAAUCUUAUUUUUGUAAAAUUGACAAAAACAUACGAUCCUGUGACUAUUCACUGGGCCCCUUCCAUGGCUUCCAAGGGCAAACAAGGGCCUCUGAAGCUCAAGUUUCAGUAGCUCGCUG
ensembl:lncRNA